rnacentral:pre_miRNA from 1 species
UCUGUGGCGGUGCUGGGGACCACCCUGAGUUCACUGUUUCCUUAGUGCGAGUGAACACAGCUGGUGGUAUCUCAGCGACGUCACGGAG